UUAGCAUCAGAUUGAGAUCUCCUUGGUCUGGACACUCGGCUUCACUUUUUGACACUCUGGGUCGGGACGUAUGUU